rnacentral:rRNA from 1 species
UACGUAGGGGGCUAGCGUUGUCCGGAAUUAUUGGGCGUAAAGAGCUCGUAGGCGGUCUGUCGCGUCUGCUGUGAAACUCAGGGCUUAACCCUGAGCUUGCAGUGGGUACGGGCAGACUAGAGUGCGGUAGGGGAGACUGGAAUUCCUGGUGUAGCGGUGAAAUGCGCAGAUAUCAGGAGGAACACCGGUGGCGAAGGCGGGUCUCUGGGCCGUAACUGACGCUGGAGGAGCGAAAGCCAUGGGAGCGAACAGG